UACGUAGGUGGCGAGCGUUGUCCGGAUUUAUUGGGUUUAAAGGGUGCGUAGGCGGCUUUGUAAGUCAGUGGUGAAAUACUCCAGCUUAACUGGAGGGGUGCCAUUGAUACUGCGGAGCUUGAGUACAGAUGAGGUAGGCGGAAUUGACGGUGUAGCGGUGAAAUGCAUAGAUAUCGUCAAGAACACCGAUAGCGAAGGCAGCUUACUGGGCUGUAACUGACGCUGAUGCACGAAAGUGUGGGGAUCAA
rnacentral:rRNA from 1 species